rnacentral:rRNA from 1 species
GAUGAACGCUGGCGGCGUGCCUAAUACAUGCAAGUCGAGCGAAUGGAUUAAGAGCUUGCUCUUAUGAAGUUAGCGGCGGACGGAUGAGUAACACGUGGGUAACCUGCCCAUAAGACUGGGAUAACUCCGGGAAACCGGGGCUAAUACCGGAUAACAUUUUGAACCGCAUGGUUCGAAAUUGAAAGGCGGCUUCGGCUGUCACCUAUGGAUGGACCCGCGUCGCAUUAGCAAGUUGGUGAGGUAACGGCGCACCAAGGCAACGAGGCGUAGCCGACCUGGGAGGGUGAUCGGCCACACUGGGACUGAGACACGGCCCAGACUCCUACGGGAGGCAGCAGUAGGGAAUCUUCCGCAAUGGACGAAAGUCUGACGGAGCAACGCCGCGUGAGUGAUGAAGGCUUUCGGGUCGUAAAACUCUGUUGUUAGGGAAGAACAAGUGCUAGUUGAAUAAGCUGGCACCUUGACGGUACCUAACCAGAAAGCCACGGCUAACUACGUGCCAGCAGCCGCGGUAA